rnacentral:lncRNA from 1 species
GGACUAAAUAUAAAGAAACCCAAACUAUUAUAAAUUGAGAAAGGUUCAUGUCACGUGUCACCCGUACGAUCACUUGACAGGGUUGAUACAGGUACGGUAUUCAACUAGGUUUAUUAUAGUUUGUGCUUACACCAGCAGUAUUGAUUUUGUUUAUAAAACAAAUGCAGAUAUAUAAGUAUAUUUUUUAAAGACAACAAACUCCAUAAUAGCAAAUAAACGAUGAAAAAGAGAACACCUAAAACAUUAUUAUAUCAAAC